CUUGUAAUUGACAUUGCUGACUUUCUCCAAUAUCUUAUACGGUCCAUGCCAGUUCUUAAGUAAUUUUGUUGUCAAUCUUCCUUUUGUUUUCCUGAUCGCGCCGGUCUUGUCAACAACUCGAGGAACAUUCCAACGGUAAACGAGACUACCGAUUGGAUAAUCAACGGUCGUUCGAUGUUGAUUAUAAAGUGGUGCAUUGAUCAAAGGCAGCAUUGCAGCAGAGUUUUGCGAUUUCUUGAGCGUCGCUGGGAAAAAAAAUUUGAGUUCUUUAACGUAUUGAUCCAUAUCAUUUAUUAAUUGUCGUUCAGUGGCACCAGUGGCAACGUCGAGAGGAGUUGUGGCUUUUCUUCUAUACAGGAGUUCAAAUGGGGAAAAUUUUGUUGUUUUGCUGAGUGAGGUGUUGAUGGCGUGAUUGACGAAAGAAGCGUGUACCCCGAUCGGAAACGAUGAAGGACGGGACUCCGUGUCGUAAAAUCACAUUUUCCAUGAGGAAUUUUGCUGCAUUUUCGGCGGUGGCACUGCGAACCGGGUCCCUGGUAGUCAAUCCCGAUGGUAUGGAACGGCCCGUGGACUUUAAUCGGUUGCAAAUAUCCGGAUGGUUUCCCGUUUGGCGGCUUUUUAACGUUGCAUGGAAUACAGGAUGCGAGGUGACGGGAUACGGAUUCAAUCAUUCCAGGCCAGUAAUAACGACCUUGUAAAUUGUAGUACGUCUUUUCUUGACCAAAAUGGCCGGAAAGGUCAUGCGCAUUUUUAAGAACUUCGGCGUGCAUAGUCUUCGGUACGACCAGUAGGAAAGUCAUUUCGUCGUUCUUUGCAUGUCAGGACGUGAAGAGGAGCGGAACGCGUCGCAAUGUCACGAAUGAAUUUACCAUAGUAACUAACCAUUCCCAGGAAGGAUCGUAACUGUUUCUUGUUCGUCGGGGCUUCGAGUUUGGUAAUUGCUUCAACCUUCUUCGGAUUGGGACUGAUGCCGUAGGGAUUUACUACGUGUCCCAAGAAGUCAAUUUGUGUAUGUCCAAAUGCACACUUUGAGGGUUUUAGCUUCAGGUCCGCUUCGGAAAGUCUCCGUAGAACUUCUUCCAAGUAAGCUAGAUGCUCUUCGAAAGUUUUGCUGAAUACGUUAAUGUCGUCCAAGUAGAUUAGAACAAAUUUGUACGUAAUUCCAUUAAAAAUUUUUGUCAUCAUUCUCAUAAAGGUUGCGGGGGCGUUCGUUAAGCCGAACGGCAUUACCUCGAAGCGGUACUGAUUUGAAGGUGUUAGGAAGGCGGUUUUGUCUUUCGACUCCUCAUCCAUCGGAACUUGAAGGUAUCCUUGGACCAUGUCUAAUCCGGAAAAGUACUUUGCUCCUCGAAGGACGUCCAGGCAAUCGUCUAUCCGUGGGAGCGGAUACGUCUUUUAUCGUCGAAGCGUUUAGGUCCCGGUAGUCGACGCAUGUCCUUAUCCCAUUCUUCUGUUGAACUAGGACCAAAUUCGCUGCAUAGUUUGACUGACAGGGUUUGAUAAUGCCGAGUUUUAUCCAAUCUUCAAUCUGCUUGUCCAUGGCUUCUUUUUCCCUUCGCGAGUAUCUGCGUAGGUUUCUUGCUGUCGGAGAAUCCGUGCCGGUGUUAACCGUGUGCUCGAUGCAGUUGGCUCGUCCCAUAGGUUGGUCUUUCGUUGGGAACACGUGUCGAUACUUGUACAGCAGUUUCAAUAAUGCCUCUUUCUGGUCAGUGGUCAGCUCUGGGCCCAACUAUAACGUCUCUUUGAAUUCUUCGAACGAUGGAUCGCUUGCUAAAAAUUUGGCCGAAUUUCCUAAGCAGGUCGUUCGGGUUUAACUGACCAUCAAUAUCGUCGUACGCAUCCUUGGUAUUUUCUUGUGACUCGUCGUCGGGGUUUCCCAUGUCCACGGGGUUUCACAAGAUUAACUCAUGUACUUCCUUCUCAUUCGAUAUACUUUGAUUACGCGCGCGUUGAGGAUCUGCCGCUGGGUCCAGGUGUACACUUUCUGGCCCAUUUGCACUUGACCUCGCGUUGUAUGGACGAGAAGCACCCGUAUUCCCUUUGUCUCGCCAGAGGUGUACAGUCUCCGUUGAGGCGUUGGGAGGUUGUCUUUGGAUGGAUGUGCUUGGAGCAUCUGCGACAGUCCUUACUUUAGUCACAAGUUUCGUCACAGGGUUGUACAUCCUUGAGUUUGCGAAUUUCACAACAAAUGGCGUGCUGUUUAAGUAAUCCGUUCCCAAAAGCAGUUUGAACGAAAAAUCGUCCAAUAUCGCGGCCGUUACAUUUGUACGUGUCCCAAGUAAAUUCACAGCGAAUCGACAAGCCUUUGUUAUUUAAGUGUAUCCCCCGAAGCCGACGUAGCGCGUGUACCUGUCCAGGUAUGGGCGCGCAAAUUCCUUUCGUUCACAAACCUCCUGUUUACAAGUGAAAUACCAGAUCCAGUGUCGAGUAUGGCUUCGGUCGGCUUAUUGUUGAUUCGUACGUAACAAGAGAGUGCGCCGGAUGAAACGUUGCAUAUGAGGGUUGAUGAAUCCGCGGUAAAAAGAGCCGAAUUUCGCCGCGGGUUUUAGUUUAACGGUCCUUCCACGACGUAUUCACUUUCAUCAUUUCCUUCUCCAUCCGUGUACGUGAAGUAGGUCGGUCGUCUUUGAGGUCGGCCAUUAUACAUUCCGCGCUGGUAGCUGUUUCCGCGUUGCAUGCCGUUUGACCUGUACUGUCGAGAAUGUCGACAGUCCGUGGUGACGUGAUCGUUCCUUCCGCAGUUGUGACAUUUUGAAUAGCAGUCGGCAAAGCGGUGUCCGGGUCGGUGUUGUUGUUGUUGCCUCGUGGACGGAAGUCUUGCUUUUGAUUGAUGUUGUUGAUCAUCGUCAUCACCUGGUCGAAUUUCUGGGUCAUUUCAGCAAUCUUGUCAGGUUGGGUUGAAACUGCAAAUGCCGGUUUGUGUUUUUCUUGGUCUUCCAGUUCUUUUCUUUCCGCUUUCUCUUUGUACUAGAUUUUCUUGGACUCGGCUGUCAGCUAUCCAGGAAGUCUUUAACGUUCGUUGGUCUGUUUGAAAUAAAACUGGUCUUCAUCCGGGUCGGUAGUUCUCGAAAUAACUCAGUCGCUUUAUCUCUUUCCGUUGCUGUCGGGUUGAUGACCUCGUACAUUUUCAGUACUUUGCUGACAUACGAAACAGGAUCCUUCUUAGCCAAAUUUUGGAAGUGUUCUUUCUUUAGGUCAUAGUCCAGGUCAGUUGGCCCAAAUGUCUUGAGAAGUGCUGUUCGGAGAGUGUCCCAAACACGGUGUUUUGACCGUUCUGA